rfam:Oryza glumipatula chromosome 1, whole genome shotgun sequence.
AAAAAAAUAAACCCUGGGUUUCCGUGUUCAACGUUUGAUUGUCUGUCUUAUAUAAAAUUUUUUUAUAAUUAGUAUUUUUAUUGUUGUUAGAUGAUAAAAUAUGAUUAAUACUUUAUGCGUGACUUGUCUUUUUAAUUUUUUAUAAUUUUUUUAAAUAAAACGGACGGUAAAACGUUGGAUACGAAAACCCAGGGUUUAUCUUUUU